GGUUUUAUAGUCAAUAUAUGAUAUUAGAGUGCAAUUCUAAAGUAAGGUGUAUCCUUAAAGCUU
rnacentral:tRNA from 1 species